UACAGAGGUCUCAAGCGUUGUUCGGAUUCAUUGGGCGUAAAGGGUGCGUAGGCGGCGCGGUAAGUCGGGUGUGAAAUCUCGGGGCUUAACUCCGAAGCUGCAUUCGAUACUGCCGUGCUUGAGGACUGGAGAGGAGACUGGAAUUUACGGUGUAGCGGUGAAAUGCGUAGAUAUCGGGAAGAACACCCGUGGCGAAGGCGGUUCUCUGGGACGGUACUGACGCUGAGACGCGAAAGCGUGGGGAGCGAACAGG
rnacentral:rRNA from 1 species